GUGUCACUAGGAGUUCCCUGAAAACACUUCGCGAGGCAUCAUCUUAAGAUCUCUUGUGAAGUGUUUGGGGGAACUCUUGGUGUCAC
rnacentral:pre_miRNA from 1 species